CAAUGCUGUUUUUAUUAAAAAAUAUUUUCUGAAUGUUGUAGAUUUUUGUACCAAUUCACCUUAAUGAUCAUUGGUUCCUCAUAGUGGUUAAUUUGCUUUAUGGAACUGUGAGGUAUAUGGACUCGUUCAAGCGUUGUACAUCGAUGACAGAGCGUAAGAGAGUCAUUGAUGAUGUGUUAACUUAUCUUGAGAAGUUUGUAUCUGACGAAAACUUCCAAGAAACACCUUCACCUAAAAACCUUCAAUUUUCUAAAUAUAAAUUCUCUGAGCCAGCUGUCCCGCAACAAAAGGCCAAUUCGAAUGAUUGUGGUAUUUGGGUCGUGAAUGGAUGAUCCUCAACCACUAUUGGGGCGUCAAUAAGCCAUGGGUUAUCAAUGAUUACUCAAGGAUGCGAUUGGCUGUAGAUUUGGUGUACAAAUGGCACAAUCCGAAACGGGAUAUGAUAAAAGAGUUUGCUGUUGCUAACUGGAAUAAAAAGAUGCAGCAGUCUGUCCUUCAAACUUAGAAUUUUAAGACGCCUCUAGUUAAAAAUUUAUUAAUCGUAAUUGUGUAUUUUAAGAACACAUUUAUUUAGUUAAGUUAUGGAUUGAUUAGGCCAUUUUAAAUUUGUUUGAAGUACACUUUAUCUUUAUAUUUAAGUCUAUAAUGAUUUAUAUAUUACUGUUUUUGGACUAUUUAGAUAUAUAUUGUUCUUUUUUAUUUAUAAUAAUUUAUACAUGAUCUUUCUAGCAAUUGUUUCAUUAUUAUUGAACCUAACCUAAAUUUUAAGUUCAGUAGUAUACUCUAUAAUUUAGAUAUAUAGUAUUGAAUGGAUGAGAAUUUUGAUAAACUUCCAUGAUGCAGCCACAGUGGUUAUGGUAACGACAAUUACUAUGUUAAACAUCUGAAGUGCAUAUGGUAAAUAUUGUGGUGGCAGGUACUUUUGCAUUUUAGUAAUAAGGAAUGGUUAGGGUGAGUUAGGUAAUUCUGUUAUGGCCAUUAUAGAUUAUUUGCAUUAUAGUGUUUCUAUUCAAUUUUCUGUGUUACAGCAUAGUACUAUAUACUUAUCCUUUGUGUUUGUGAGAAAUCUUUUGAGUGCAAACUGAAACAGAACUUUGUGGCUGUGGCAGCCUACAAUAAAUCCAAUUUCUGCAGCUGCUGCCAGCAAUGCUGCACUUUUAGAAAGGGCCCCAUCUGUGGUAGCUAUGGAUGGACUGCACCAUUUUUCUUGCAGUUCCUCUUUUGAAAUUUAUUUAUUUAUUUCUGUAGAUCCUUGAAGCUACCUGAGAAUGUACGAGUAACCAAGGUAUGUUCUUUACCUUAGGCAUACAAUAUUGAAAGUUUAGUGAAACUUAGUUGUUUUAUAAAUCAUUUUAAU